rnacentral:rRNA from 1 species
AGGGAAUCUUCCACAAUGGACGAAAGUCUGAUGGAGCAACGCCGCGUGAGCGAGGAAGGUUUUCGGAUCGUAAAGCUCUGUUGCUGGAGAAGAACGAGUGCGAGAGGAAAUGCUCGUACUGUGACGGUAUCCAGCCAGAAAGCCACGGCUAACUACGUGCCAGCAGCCGCGGUAAUACGUAGGUGGCAAGCGUUGUCCGGAAUUAUUGGGCGUAAAGCGCGCGCAGGCGGCUUCUUAAGUCUGAUGUGAAAUCUUGCGGCUCAACCGCAAACGGUCAUUGGAAACUGGGAAGCUUGAGUGCAGAAGAGGAGAGUAGAAUUCCACGUGUAGCGGUGAAAUGCGUAGAUAUGUGGAGGAAUACCAGUGGCGAAGGCGGCUCUCUGGUCUGUAACUGACGCUGAGGCGCGAAAGCGUGGGGAGCAAAC